UUCCCACCCAGCAGUUCAAACUGACCAACAGUUGCCCACCACCUCGGCUUUUGGCUUCCCCACCCCCCAGCCCUUCAGCCCCCUAUAAAACAACCCUGCCCCUCUGAGCGGCGCGGCCAUUUUUCCUUUUCGUCCCGGCUGGCCCGCCCGGAGGCUCUUUCCUCUCAAUAAAGCCUGAACUUAAGGAAUUUCCUCUAGCCUGCGGUCCGGUUUCUUUCCCAAUGAGCCCAGUCUUCCCACAGAGGGUAGGUCGGACAAAUGGUGCCGGAAACCCGGGACGGGAGCUGGGGCCGUUGGCCCGGCCACGGCCCCCCUCCCCGACCUACCCAACACUGGCCCUGCCACCUCCACGUUCCGAUUAAGCUUCCUCAGUACCAUAUAGGAAGAUCAGUCCUCAUGUACUGUCUGCGUGAAAACUAAUUCCCAGGGUUCCUGUCAUCCCCGGCGCCAGCUUCAUCAGCUACGCGGGUUCCUACCUGGCCAAGACUGGCAAAUUGAUUUCACCCAUAUGCCAAAGCACAAACAGUACCGGUAUCUGCUAACCAUUGUUGACACUUUUUCAGGCUGGAUUGAAGCUUACCCCACAGCCUCUGAGUCUGCCGGGACAGUAGCCACUCAUCUCAUUCAAGACAUCAUCCCACGCUUUGGACUCCCGGCUACCAUACAGUCAGACAACGGCCCAGCCUUUAUCUCCAAAGUCACUAAUGCCGUUUCUACCUCUCUAGGAAUUCAGUAGAAGCUACAUGCUGCCUACCAUCCUCAGUCCUCUGGUAAGGUGGAACGGGCCAAUGGCCUAAUAAAGGAGCAUCUGACUAAGCUCAUGCUUGAGCUCCGCCAAUCCUGGGUAACCUUAAUUCCUAUCACCCUCACCAGGGUAAGAGCAGGCCCCCGGGGCCCAUCACAGCUUAGCCCAUUUGAGCUGCUGUAUGGUUGCCCCUUCCUACUUUCAACUCCCCCACCGCCAGAGACUACUCCUCUAGACAGCUACCUCCCCUACUUUACUCUCCUUCGCAGCCUUCUCCGAGAACACGCCAACGCUUCUCUUCCCCAAACCACCCAGCCAUCUGAAAAUACACAGAAAGUCCUCCCGGUAACCCUAGUCCCUCGACUCACUAUAUAUUCCCCAGCCGAAUUCCAGAUGCUGCAAACUCCCCAUCGCUGCACCCGAUGAGCUGCCUUCCUACCCAUUGCCGUUGGAGUCUCCCUUGCUGGUUCAGCACUUGCAGCAGGAUUAGGAGGAGGGGCACUAGUCCACUCUCACCUGGCUAUAGCCCGACUGACCUCGCAAUUCCAAGCAGCUAUUGAUGACUCUACUGAGUCUUUAGCAUCACUCCAACGACAGAUCACCUCAGUUGCCCAAGUUGCCUUACAGAACUGAAGAGCCCUAGACCUGCUCACUGCUGAACGAGGAGGGACCUGUAUCUUCCUACAAGAAGAGUGCUGUUACUACAUCAGUGAAUCCGGCCUAGUAGAAACCCGAAUCGAGAGCCUCCAGAAACUCGAAACUAACCUCUAGAGUCAGAAGUUCUCGGCUGAAGCCACAGCGUGGUGGUCUUCCUCUAUGUAUACCCUCUUGUCACCAUUGCUUGGGCCCCUAAUAGCCGUUUGCCUAAUCUUACUUAUUGCUCCUUGCUUUCUCCAGUUCCUACAGCGGCUCUUUCAAGAACUGACUGGAGUCACCAUCCACCAGAUGCUGCUCCAACCCCACCCUGAACGAGUGCAAGAAACAGACCUCUCCCCAAA